rnacentral:misc_RNA from 1 species
AAGUCGUAACAAGGUUUCCGUAGGUGAACCUGCGGAAGGAUCAUUAACACGUAUCCAACGUUAAACCCCCUGUGAACCUUCAUUGUACGAGUUACAUCCACGUCAUAAACCGGCAAUCUCUGGUAAAUCAUCGCCGAACAGUUUUGAUUCAGAGACCUCUGGGAAGGGUGUACGGUAGUGCGAGGCAAUUGACCUGGCAUUCCUCUGCUUGUUAGUGUCUGAAAGUGUCACUAGCUAUGUACGGAUGGCGCAGUAACGAUCGCUGGAGGCCGACACGGCCGGCGACCAGGUCACUGGGCUACGGCCCCCCUGAUCACCUGCGCUGAGGUGCGGCCACCCCUAAUGCUUGAACAACUGUUAACAAUGGAUAUCUUGGUUCUC